UACAGAGGUCUCAAGCGUUGUUCGGAUUCAUUGGGCGUAAAGGGUGCGUAGGCGGCGCGGUAAGUCGGGUGUGAAAUCUCGGAGCUUAACUCCGAAACUGCAUUCGAUACUGCCGUGCUUGAGGACUGGAGAGGAGACUGGAAUUUACGGUGUAGCGGUGAAAUGCGUAGAUAUCGUAAGGAACACCGGUGGCGAAAGCGGCGCGCUGGACCUCUACUGACGCUGAGGCACGAAAGCGUGGGAGCAAACAGG
rnacentral:rRNA from 1 species